rnacentral:rRNA from 1 species
GACGAACGCUGGCGGCGUGCUUAACACAUGCAAGUCAAACGGAAAGGCCCUGCUUUUGUGGGGUGCUCGAGUGGCGAACGGGUGAGUAACACGUGAGUAACCUGCCCUUGACUUUGGGAUAACUUCAGGAAACUGGGGCUAAUACCGGAUAGGAGCUCCUGCUGCAUGGUGGGGGUUGGAAAGUUUCGGCGGUUGGGGAUGGACUCGCGGCUUAUCAGCUUGUUGGUGGGGUAGUGGCUUACCAAGGCUUUGACGGGUAGCCGGGCUGAGAGGGUGACCGGCCACAUUGGGACUGAGAUACGGCCCAGACUCCUACGGGAGGCAGCAGUGGGGAAUAUUGCACAAUGGGCGGAAGCCUGAUGCAGCAACGCCGCGUGCGGGAUGACGGCCUUCGGGUUGUAAACCGCUUUCGCCUGUGACGAAGCGUGAGUGACGGUAAUGGGUAAAGAAGCACCGGCUAACUACGUG